rnacentral:rRNA from 1 species
UACGUAGGGUGCGAGCGUUAAUCGGAAUUACUGGGCGUAAAGUGUGUGCAGGUGGCUGAGCAAGUCGAGUGUGAAAUCCCCGGGCUCAACCUGGGAACUGCAUUUGUGACUGCAUGGCUGGAGUGCGGCAGAGGGGGAUGGAAUUCCGCGUGUAGCAGUGAAAUGCGUAGAUAUGCGGAGGAACACCGAUGGCGAAGGCAAUCCCCUGGGCCUGCACUGACGCUCAUGCACGAAAGCGUGGGGAGCAAACAGG